rnacentral:misc_RNA from 1 species
GAUGAAGAACGUAGCGAAAUGCGAUACGUAGUGUGAAUUGCAGAAUUCAGUGAAUCAUCGAAUCUUUGAACGCACAUUGCACCUCUCGGUAUUCCGGGAGGUAUGCCUGUUCGAGCGUCAUUUGUACCCUCAAGCUCUGCUUGGUGUUGGGUGUUUGUUCCGCCUCUGUGUGUGAACUCGCCUCAAAACAAUUGGCAGCCGGCGUACUUGUUUCGGAGCGUAGCACAUUUUGCGAUCCAGAUCAACGUACAGCGGCAUCCAAGAAGCCUUAUUUAACGCUCUUGACCUCGGAUCAGGUAGGGAUACCCGCUGAACUUAAGCAUAUCAAUAAGCGGAGGA